AAAGCGGCACUUCCCUACCUCCUUUAUUCCUCAUCGACCACGUCGCUACCGCCACGCACUUCAGCACAGCCGCUCAGCAAGUGCCAGCUGCGCACCUUUUCUUGCUGAGGCUGGCAUACGAGGAGGGCCGUUGCGCUGCUCCAUUCUUCGCAACCACCACUUCGCAAACCGACGGUGACGAGGGGGUGGGACCGAGCAGAGAAGUCUUCUUUGCUACCGCCGAUCCUCCGCACGAUGACUUGAUCACCUCGUCCGAGGCAAAAGACAUACAUACAUCUCUACUUACACCCUACACCUGAACAGAAGCCCCGUGCGCGAUGCGUCGCCGGCGCUCUCGUUUGACGCUCUACUGGCUCACAGACAAGGAGUGGUUUCUCGGCGAAGACGACUGUGUGCGGCCCGCCUCUAGGUGGAGAUCGCUUCUGGGCACUGUCACGGAAGGCGCACUGUCCUUGGCGUCGGAACAUCUGUUUUUUGAUGACGGCGGCCCGCACGUCGUUAUUUUCCCACUGUCAAGAGUGGCGGAUGCCGCCGUGCACUUUUGCAAUGAGCACAUUUCCGUAACGUUCACGUGCAAGAACGCACUGCGGCGCGAAGUGCUCACGCCGCCAACCAGCAAGCACUCGGUUCCAGGCAUCUGCAGGCCAUACCCGAACAAGGAGACGUGGGUGUUUCACUUUCCACGCACGUCUGAGUGGGUCGCGGAGUCCCUCCGCAGCCUCUUUACCCGGCAUCGCAUCGAGGACAUCCUGUCACGCCGCGAGGUUGCUUUGCAGGGUGCCUCCUCCGUUGUCAGCUUCUGUGCGCGGCGUCAGGUGCCGAUGCGGGAGCAGAGAGGCGUUCUCUACAUCGGCGAUGCCGAGCUUGUCUUCGAGCCGCUCUUCCCUCUGUCGGCGCACGGGGUAGUAACGCUGGACCGUCGCCAGUGCCGUCACACCUUUGCUCGGUGGAUCAUCUUUGAGGCUGUGGGGCUCGACCUGUACACGUCCGAGUCACCUGCAGCGACUCCUGCGCUGUCGCUUAUCUUCCGCAACUCUCGCGAAAGGGAUGAGGCUGCCCACCUGCUUGCCGAGCGCCUCGGCGUUCCACCCUACCGUGUCUCCAUCCAGACCGUUUCGGAAGCGUGGAGGAACCACUCCAUCUCCAGCUACGAGUACCUCCUGCACCUAAACAAGUGGGCGUCGCGGUGCGCCAACGACGUCUUUCAGUACCCCGUCUUUCCUUGGGUACUCGCCGACUACACCUCGUCUGCGCUGGACCUUUCUCAGCCGUCGACCUUCCGCGACCUGUCCAAGCCGAUAGGUGCCCUCUCCCCGUCGCGGCUGGCCCUCCUCCGGGAGCGGGCUGAGUUCCUGCGAGAGGCAGAGGAGACGGCAUACUUGUACUCCACGCACUACUCCUCCGCUGCUAUCGUCGCCUACUACUUGGUGCGUCCUCACCCUGAGUUUCAGCUGAGUCUUCAGGGCGGUACGCUCGAUGUGCCGGAGCGCAUCAUGGAGUCCAUUCCACAGCUUUGGAACAGCGUCACGACAAACUCGAGCAACUUCCGCGAGCUCAUUCCACAGUUCUUCAACGAAGGCUUCGUGGCACUGUGCGGCCCUCCUCUCCUUCCUCUCGGUUUGCAUGCCGACGGGUCUCCCGUGGCCGCGUAUGUUAAGCUGCCUCCGUGGGCGGCUAGCAGUGAGGACUUUGUACGCCAACAUCGUGCAGCCCUUGAGAGCGAUAUCGUUUCCGCGUCUCUCCACCUAUGGAUCGACCUCGUCUUCGGCGUGGCGCAGACUGGCGAGCAAGCGUGUGCGUCGGAUAACUUAUUUCACCCCUUUUCGUACCCCCAGUGUGACAGGCAGCUGAGCGUGCCUGGGCUGCACCUCUCAUCCCGCGAGUAUGCGAGAGAGUUCGGGAACGUGCCGAUUCAACUCUUCGCCGACCUGCAUCCGCCACGCGCGAGGAUUGCGCACACACUUGCGUGCACGGCAGAAGCCUUAGAAGCGUGCGGGUGCGCGACCACGUCUGCCAAUCAGCAACGCCUCUUGCGCAUGAUGGAGGAGCUGCAGUUCAUUGAGGACGCGACGGACACCGUGGCCGACUCGGCGGACGCACACGACGAAGGCGCGCAUGGUCUGCCCACGCACGCAGCAGCUCUCACCGUCAUUUCGACUACCUCCCUAUCUUGCCGCUCAGCUCGUUUUGUUACACUUGGCCACAGCCAUGCCGAUCCACCCGCCUCACCGACGGCAGUGCUGCUUGUCGUUGGCAGUGAUCAGCGCACGGCGACGCUAUUCGACGUCGCGACGGGCAAGCGCAUUCGCUCCUUUCCCGAUUUUGAUGGCCUCAUCACCGCCACCGCUUUUCACGACAGCCACAUGUUCGUUUUCACAGAGACUACAAGUUGUUACGUUCUGUCGCUCACCUCGCACGCCGUGGCACACUUUACCGCUGAGGUGACGCCUGCAGCUGUCCUCCAAGCUUGUUUCGCAUCACAGCUGGUCGUUCUUGCAGACUCAAACGCACAACUCUCGGGCUGGGCACUGCAGCGCGGCACAUCCCCGCUACUCUUUGAGUCGCCGCUCUCCUUUACGUGCGAGGCCUCCUCGCGGGUCGCGUGCAUCGGCUCCUCCGCGGAUGGCGACACCGUUGUCGCCGCCACCGAGCAGUUGGAGGUCUUUGUUUGUCGCGGAGGCACAUGUUGCGAGUGCAUGCUUCAACAGGUGCCUGCUCCAUCAGCGGUCCUGCACAUCAUGCCGGCAGAUCGGCUCACACGCUUCUGGGUGUUCUUUCUCGAGGAGGCCGCUCUCUAUGAUCUUGGAGGCCUUCCGCUGAGGCGUAUUGCCACCACUGCCGCGUCUAUCAUGACGUGCCCUCAGCUGGCCUACCAGCUCUACCCGCUCUACAUACACAUGGACAACGGAGCCCUUGAGGUGUUCCAGCUGCUGCACAGUGGGGAGCGCGCCGUGCCGCUGCGGUGCAGCCGGCUGCGGUCUCUGCAGCUCUCGUCCGCCGGCAACCUCGUCGCUUUCGUCGGCACCGCCGUUGCCGAUUGCAAGCCGUCGCUCGUCCUUACGAUGGCCGCACUGACGGCUCAGCUGACAGGGUGACGCACCUCCUGUGGUGGGACAUGCCGGCGUCUCCAGCCUCUCGACCAUGUCCGCCGCGCGCCGCGUAUGUGCGACUGCGCCUUGAGCUCUUUGUUUCUGCGGUGGGGCUCUUCUCUUCCGCGGCCUGCGUUAGAGGCCCAUCGAACAAGAGCAUUUCUUCAACAACACCAGAGAAAAAAACAAAACAACGCAGCUGCCUGGCUUCUCCGGACGUGCUUUGCGUGAGGCGGUUUCUCAUGACAGAUGCAGCACACAGAACCUUGCGCUGCUUCGCACGCGUCUGCGAGCCACUAUGCAGCGAGCGGCGGAAACAAAGGCGACCAUUUUUCUUUGAUCCCCUUCUGUCACUGAUCCUCUGAUGGCGGGGGACACCUCAGCGCGCUUUCAGCGUUCACUGACCCCCUGCACUCUGUGGGAGUCGAGUAGCCCAUCUAUCCCUGCCAAUGCCGAGCCACUUCUCCUGAUGACAGGGUAGCACGCCUGGGACUUGGGGAGAUCUUAGCACUGUAUCGCUGCGAAUGUCGGCGGCCAGGCUCUGAGCGGCGCUGCGUCACAGCGACCAGCAACGGGGAAUACCCUGGUGCUAUCCAUGCAAUGGACGGAGUCUCAGCGUCACUGGAAUGGACCUCACAUCCGCCACCCGCACUGCCUACUGGUGUGAGAAGACCCUGGGUUUCACUCCGAGGAAAUGCACCGCGGGUGACGGCUUGGCAUGAUAAGUAAGCAGCUCUGAAGCGACCUGCUCAGCAGCAGGGCGGGUGGAAUCUGAGGCGCAGGCCGUGCUCCGAUAAACGGGUGGGCGCACCGCUGUAGCGUGCGUGUCCACGGCUGCUUCGCAGUUAGCGAAUAGGGCCUGAGCCGUCCACGCUAGAGUGGCGCUUGGCGCAU
rnacentral:misc_RNA from 1 species